rnacentral:tRNA from 1 species
GCCCCGGUAGCUUAGCUUAAAGCAUUGGUCUUGUAAACCAAAGAUCGUGGACUAAACCCCACCCAGGGCU